GAUGAACGCUAGCUACAGGCUUAACACAUGCAAGUCGCGGGGCAGCAUGGGGGUUGCUUGCAAUCCCCGAUGGCGACCGGCGCACGGGUGAGUAACGCGUAUCCAACCUGCCCUUCACCACGGGAUAACCCGGCGAAAGUCGGACUAAUACCGUAUGUUGUCCAUUGACGGCAUCCGAUUUGGACGAAAGGUUUGGCGGUGAAGGAUGGGGAUGCGUCCGAUUAGCUGGACGGCGGGGUGACGGCCCACCGUGGCGACGAUCGGUAGGGGUUCUGAGAGGAAGGUCCCCCACACUGGAACUGAGACACGGUCCAGACUCCUACGGGAGGCAGCAGUGAGGAAUAUUGGUCAAUGGGCGUAAGCCUGAACCAGCCAAGUAGCGUGCAGGAUGACGGCCCUAUGGGUUGUAAACUGCCUUUAUGCGGGGAUAAAGUGGCCCACGUGUGGGUUUUUGCAGGUACCGCAUGAAUAAGGACCGGCUAAUUCCGUG
rnacentral:rRNA from 1 species